GGGGGAGAGGAGUGACUUUAUAUAUAUAUUUUGUUUUUUUUUUUGUAGGAUGAACGCUGGCGGCGUGCCUAAUACAUGCAAGUCGAACGAGUUCUCGUUGAUGAUCGGUGCUUGCACCGAGAUUCAACAUGGAACGAGUGGCGGACGGGUGAGUAACACGUGGGUAACCUGCCCUUAAGUGGGGGAUAACAUUUGGAAACAGAUGCUAAUACCGCAUAGAUCCAAGAACCGCAUGGUUCUUGGCUGAAAGAUGGCGUAAGCUAUCGCUUUUGGAUGGACCCGCGGCGUAUUAGCUAGUUGGUGAGGUAAUGGCUCACCAAGGCGAUGAUACGUAGCCGAACUGAGAGGUUGAUCGGCCACAUUGGGACUGAGACACGGCCCAAACUCCUACGGGAGGCAGCAGUAGGGAAUCUUCCACAAUGGACGCAAGUCUGAUGGAGCAACGCCGCGUGAGUGAAGAAGGCUUUCGGGUCGUAAAACUCUGUUGUUGGAGAAGAAUGGUCGGCAGAGUAACUGUUGUCGGCGUGACGGUAUCCAACCAGAAAGCCACGGCUAACUACGUGCCAGCAGCCGCGGUAAUACGUAGGUGGCAAGCGUUAUCCGGAUUUAUUGGGCGUAAAGCGAGCGCAGGCGGUUUUUUAAGUCUGAUGUGAAAGCCCUCGGCUUAACCGAGGAAGCGCAUCGGAAACUGGGAAACUUGAGUGCAGAAGAGGACAGUGGAACUCCAUGUGUAGCGGUGAAAUGCGUAGAUAUAUGGAAGAACACCAGUGGCGAAGGCGGCUGUCUGGUCUGUAACUGACGCUGAGGCUCGAAAAGACCGG
rnacentral:rRNA from 2 species